GACGAGGGAUCCUAGCGUUGUUCGGAAUCAUUGGGCGUAAAGCGGGUGUAGGUGGCUAUGUAAGUCGGGUGUGAAAGCCCUGGGCUCAACCCAGGAAGUGCAUUCGAUACUGCGUAGCUUGAGUGCGGGAGAGGUUACUAGAAUUCUUGGUGUAGUGGUGAAAUACGUAGAUAUCAAGAGGAAUACCGGAGGCGAAGGCGGGUAACUGGCCUAGCACUGACACUCAGACCCGAAAGCUAGGGGAGCAAACAGG
rnacentral:rRNA from 1 species